CCUACGGGGGGCUGCAGUGGGGAAUAUUGGACAAUGGGCGAAAGCCUGAUCCAGCCAUGCCGCGUGUGUGAAGAAGGCCUUCGGGUUGUAAAGCACUUUCAGUGGGGAAGAAAGCCUUGGGGCUAAUACCCUCGAGGAAGGACAUCACCCACAGAAGAAGCACCGGCUAACUCCGUGCCAGCAGCCGUGGUAAUACGGAGGGUGCGAGCGUUAAUCGGAAUUACUGGGCGUAAAGCGCGCGUAGGCGGUCUGAUAAGCCGGUUGUGAAAGCCCCGGGCUCAACCUGGGAACGGCAUCCGGAACUGUCAGGCUAGAGUGCAGGAGAGGAAGGUAGAAUUCCCGGUGUAGCGGUGAAAUGCGUAGAGAUCGGGAGGAAUACCAGUGGCGAAGGCGGCCUUCUGGACUGACACUGACGCUGAGGUGCGAAAGCGUGGGUAGCAAACAGGAUUAGAUACCCUUGUAGUC
rnacentral:rRNA from 1 species